UAAUACUUUAAAUUAUUCAGGGUCAGACUUAAUUUGAGUCCCUCUUGUUGCUCCACAGCAAUAAAAACAUAGAGAUGUUGCAACCCAAGUACCCAAGUGAAGACAAAGCUCCAUCUGAGGAUGCCUUGGGUUCCAGAAGGUUCAGGUUCACAGCAUGAGCUUGGAGACUGGCUGUUGAGAAAAUACUGGCUGGUCUCUAUUGGGUUGAAUAUCUUCCUCUUUACAAUCACCUUUCUGUCAGAGAAACAGAAGACAGCUUUCUCCUACCUUCCUGGAAAGUCUUUCAUGGAAUAGAUUCCUGCAGCUCACAGGACUCACAGCAGUAACUCAGUCAAGUGCACGUAUUCCGCUCUGACCCCUGUGUUUCUCACACUGAUCUGACAAUCAGUGUGGGGAAUCUGAGGAGCCUGGAUGGCUCAAAAUAUUAUUGAUGGGCUGCUGAAGGUCUGCCUACAGUUUUUGUAGAGUCAUGAGGGAAUUGACUGUGCACUCUCUAUUAAUCAUCCUGUGGCUGAAUCUCUCAGCUGAUGCUGAAGGCUCCAGCCCUCCAUUUAGCAAAGGCAGGCUGGUGGCAGCUGAAAAGUAAGACCAGGUGACUGCUAUAUCCAGUCUUAUCCAGUCUAUAUCCAGUCUAUAUCCAAGCUUGUGAAAAUUGCUUCAGUGGUCUCAGUCCAAAUUUUACUGACAGAAUCUUAGCAUCUCCAGAAAAUUAAUCCAAAAUAACUCCUAGUCAAAAGCUCAGGAACAGCCAAUGUUUUAAAGACAAGAAGGGAAGUUGUUUCUUCCCAAGAAGCAUUCUGUGUACACCAGCAAUGAAAUGCAAGGGGGAACAUUGAUGUUAGCACCACCCUGGCUGUCAAUAAAUAGCUUCUGUCCUCAGAAAUAUCA
rnacentral:lncRNA from 1 species